rnacentral:rRNA from 1 species
UACGUAGGGUGCGAGCGUUGUCCGGAAUUAUUGGGCGUAAAGAGCUUGUAGGCGGUUUGUCGCGUCUGCUGUGAAAUGUACCGGCUCAACCGGUGCCUUGCGGCGGAUACUGCAUAGCUGGAGUACUGGAGAGGGAAGUGGAAUUCCCGGUGUAGCGGUGAAAUGCGCAGAGAUCAGGAGGAAUACCGAAGGCGAAGGCAGUCUUCCAAGCCGUUAUUGACGCUCAACUGCGAAGGUGUGGGUAUCAAACAGGAUUAGAUA